rnacentral:telomerase_RNA from 1 species
CUUCGCGUCGCCUCCCACACAGUUUACCGAAAUCUUUUUCCGCGAGGAAAGUCUAUUGCAGGCCCCCUUCCACGGGUGUAUGAGCUCGGAACUUAACCCUAAGAUAAGAUCUGGUUGUAGUAUUGCGUCAGUUUGACCCGUCUUUUAAGCCUACCAGGGAGUUGGAACCUGUCGACCGCUGAAAAGCGUUCGGCUGGGAAUAAGUCUCGGCAGGUGGACUGAUGGGGAGAACCGUCCAGUCACGGUAUAGUGCCAUACUGUGCAAGAGAUUGGCGCCAUGAGUCAAUUUGAGAAGAGCCUCUGUUCUGAGGACGCUCGUCAGCCCGAUCUACUGGAACAGGUUGGCCAAUAUGGGCAGUUCCAAAGAUGCUGUUGACAAAGAGAGAAAGCGUCAUUUCGAAGACCAGCGGGGAGAGUUGAGCCAAGCAUUGGAUACAUACUAUCAGUCACUGCGUUUCAUUGAAUAUCACAGAUGGAUUGCCUCGCCGGAAUCACUCGCCAAGUACGAGUGUAGCGAGGAUUUCAUGGGCACAAACAGAAACACUUGACUGAUUCACUGAUUCACCAAACUUGAUAUGCUCUCGGAUCUCUCGACGUCGCCUAAGUUAUUUCUUGCCGUGUCACUUCUGACCGCAUUGUCAACAAGCACUUGGAACCACAUCUGGGGUAACCCCCAAGAUGUGUGAUGAUCACAUCAAGCCUGGCCACACGCAUUAACUUUCCAUUGCAAGCAUCUGGCACCUGCAAGCAAUAGUGAAAGACCCCAGUCAAUCGUUGUAGUGUCUCUUGACCUUCGACAGUUUCCUCGACAUCCUUCCGAAAGGAAUGAAUCGAGACGAGAGCGCGGUUUUUAUGGAUGUCUUUUGUCCGCGCGUCGAUGCCCUCCUUGCUAGCAUUGACCAUGCAUGAUGGAGAGGAUACAAAAACUAGUCCUUGUUGGCAGCGAAGAACACACAGAAGGAGUUGUUGUUUUAUUGGCGGUCGAGUAUCACGUUUGCUGUGUUUCCCCUUGCUCUGGUCACUGAGUCGCAGGAAAGCGUGGAAGCACCUGAGUCAAUGAGUAUGACGCGCCCCUGAAUCCUCUCUGUCGGUUUCUACAUUGAACCUUUUCCUGGGACCCAUCCUGAGUUGGAGUCAAAGUUUCGUACUUGUCCGGGGCUGGGGGAAAUGGAGUAUUGGCAUGAAAGGUGAACGGCAAUCGGGUAACGAAUUGGCACUGAAUCGAUUGGUUUUAAGGGCAGGCCUUGAGGGAUAAGGCAGCUCUGGUUGUCCCCGUGCCAGCAAUGGUAGGAGGACAACCCCCCA